rfam:Oryza sativa Japonica Group DNA, chromosome 8, cultivar: Nipponbare, complete sequence.
AAAAACUGAAUUAUUUGAUUUCCAUGUCCAACGUUUGACCGUCCAUUUUAUAUGAAAUUAUUUUAUGAUUACAAUUUUUAUUAUUGUUAGAUGAUAAAACACGAAUAAUACUUAUAUGCAUGACUUAUCUUUUUAAAUUUUUUUCAUAAUUUUUUAAAUAAGACAAACGGUCAAACGUUAGACACAGAAACCUAGGAAUUGAGUUUUU